rnacentral:rRNA from 1 species
AAAGAUUAAGCCAUGCAUGUGUAAGUACACACCUUCCUUAUGGCGAAACCGCAAACGGCUCAUUAAAUCAGUCAUAAUUUAUUGGAUGGUGUUUAUCCUAUACUCGGAUAACCGUGGCAAUUCUAGAGCUAAUACGUGCAACUGAGCUCCGACCACGGCGUGCCCGUUAAAGGCGCGUCGGGGGAAGGGCGCAUUUAUUGGAAUCAUAAACCGAGCGGUCUCUCGAGUCCGUCCCAAAAAUCGGUUAUGAUGACUCUGGAUAACUUUGCCGAGCGAUUAGGCCUUCGAGCCGUCGCUGCAUCUUUCGAGUGACUGCCUUAUCAGCUUUCGAUUGUAGGCUAUACGCUUACGAUGGCUGUAACGGGUAACGGGGAAUCAGGGUUCGAUUCCGGAGAGGGAGCCUGAGAAACGGCUACCACAUCUAAGGAAGGCAGCAGGCACGCAAAUUACCCACUCCCGGCUCGGGGAGGUAGUGACGAUAAAUAACGAUGCGGGACUCUUCCGAGGCCUCGCAAUCGGAAUGAGUUUACUCUAAAACCUUGGACGAGGAUCCAUUGGAGGGCAAGUCUGGUGCCAGCAGCCGCGGUAAUUCCAGCUCCAAUAGCGUAUAUUAAAGUUGCUGCGGUUAAAAAGCUCGUAGUUGGAUUUUCGGUCUGUACCGGCGGCCCACCCAAGGCGCGCCCCCCGAAGACUUCCACUCGGUUAGGAGGGGGUGUGUGACGUUCGGCCAAGUUCUUAUCGCUCGGUCGCUCUCGGUGCGGCGGCGGGACUCGUUCCCCCCCCCUCAUCCGCGCGCGAGUCGUCGGUAUCCUUCGUUCGCUUCGUUACCCCCUCCGCCGAGGUUGUCUAGUUGGGUCUCCGCGCCCGGUGGUCAAACCGUCCGGCUACGGAUUUGUUAAAAUCCGCCGGCUCUCACGGGGUGCUCUUUACCGAGUGUCUCGCGUGGCCGACGACGUUCACUUUGAAAAAAUUAGAGUGCUCAAAGCAGGCAAAAAUCUUCGCCUGAAUUAUGAUGCAUGGAAUGAUGGAACAGGACCUCGGUUCUGCAUCUUUUCUCUCGGUUUUUCCCGAACCCGAGGUAAUGAUUAACGGGAACGGACGGGGGCAUUAGUAUUGCGACGCUAGAGGUGAAAUUCUUGGACCGUCGCAAGACUAACUACUGCGAAAGCAUUUGCCAAGAACGCUUUCAUUAAUCAAGAACGAAAGUUAGAGGAUCGAAGGCGAUCAGAUACCGCCCUAGUUCUAACCUUAAACGAUGCUGACUAGCGAUCCGCUUAAGUCAUUCCCACGACUGAGCGGGCAGCCCCCGGGAAACCGAAGUUUUUGAGUUCCGGGGGAAGUAUGGUUGCAAAGCUGAAACUUAAAGGAAUUGACGGAAGGGCACCACCAGGAGUGGAGCCUGCGGCUUAAUUUGACUCAACACGGGAAACCUCACCAGGCCCAGACACCGGAAGGAUUGACAGAUUGAGAGCUCUUUCUCGAUUCGGUGGUUGGUGGUGCAUGGCCGUUCUUAGUUGGUGGAGCGAUCUGUCUGGUUGAUUCCGAUAACGAACGAGACUCUACCCUACUAACUAGUCGGUGGAUCGUUUCCCGAGACGGGUUCCCUUCCGGGGGGUUUCGGCGCGAGGUUAAGCGCGCGGUCCGCUCACGCUUCCCGCGUUUCCGCUUCAGCGUGCCUGCGUUGGUCGCCGGCUGUCUUUUCGCCUUUCGGGGCGUUGGGGCUCGGUUUGGCUAACGUCGGGUGGGCGGCGGCGGUGCGAGGGUUCGCGAUGUCCGUCGCUCCUCGCGUUCGCUGUAUUCCUCCCGCGGAGGGCCCAACGAGGGGCGUCCAUCGUAACGUCUUCUUAGAGGGAUCGGCGGCAUUUAGCCGCACGAGAGAGAGCAAUAACAGGUCUGUGAUGCCCUUAGAUGUUCUGGGCCGCACGCGCGCUACAAUGCAGGGAGCAGCGUGCUUUCCCACUCCGAAAGGAGCGGGUAACCCGGUGAAACCCCUUCCCGAUUGGGAUUGGGGCUUGCAAGUGUUUCCCAUGAACGAGGAAUUCCCAGUAAGCGUAAGUCAUCAGCUUGCGAUGAUUACGUCCCUGCCCUUUGUACACACCGCCCGUCGCUACUACCGAUUGAAUGAUUCAGUGAGGGCGUCGGACCAGCGCCCUCGGCAGCUCUCGGAUCGAUCGUUCCGUUCAAAGGUUCUUCCGCUCUCCGCUCCGCCUCCGCCUCUCUCCCUUCCGGGACCGAGCCGCGAGCGAGGGUGCGAGGUGGAUAGGGUCUGGAACCGACCGAAUGGGCGCCCCGGGCCCGCCGGAAAGACGUCCGAA